UCAUAAGGUGAAUGCACCAAUUUGUAAGUCGCUCUGGAUAAGAGCGUCUGCUAAAUGACUUACAUGUAAAUGUAAAUGUAUUAUUAUUAUUUCCGUAGCCUAGGUUACACUAAUCGUCACGCUAGUCACUGACCUGUAUUACCUGUCCGUGAAGGCUAUAUCUGUACAGUGAUUUGAAUGCCAGUCUGCUGCACUCCAGUACUGUACCAGCACCACGACAAUAGUUGCAAUAGUCCUGAGAAUGACUGCACAUGUAAGGAUUGUGAUAUUGCUCACCUUUUUAUAUGUUCCUGUAAAAACUCCAUCAGUCAAUGAAGAUCCAGGAUUCACCAUUACUUGUACAAAUCGCAAAGGUGAAGUCAUAUACCGUAAAAAGGACUGGACUACAGCUUUUUCAGCAGGCAAUGCUAAAUGUACAAAGCGAGCAAAAGGCAAAGAAUUUCAGUGCCUAGAGGUAGACAGCGCCAUCAACAACACUUCAUUAUGUUCCUCAAAUACAGAGUGUUGAUUCAAUGAUAUGUUUGAAGAGGAAGAAUAUGUGAAAUGCAUUAUUCAGAAAAAUUGUAGGUUUUACUUAUUACAGCAUGCAGCUAGGAAUGUUGUAUAAUUUCACAUUUCCAAUAUUUGCAUUUCAGUGGCAAUCCGAACUCUUUGAGACAUUUAAAAACCAAAAUAUCAAUUUCCCCUCAUACGGUGGCAUCUGGAGAGGGUGGAAAAAAUCAACAAAUUCACAAAAUACAAAACCAUUCGGAACAAAUCAAAUUUCACAUCUUGAUCAUAGCCAUACCAGUAUUAGGGCUAUUCAUUGUAUGAUUGGUGUGCUGCUAUACCAGAAGAUGGAAAGAUUGACAUCCUCAAACAUCUAAGGAGUAUUCACUAGUAACUUAAUAGAAUCAAAUGGAAGCAAGCCCCCCUAAUGAUUGCAUCCAACUAUAACAAACCAUGGCAGGCAGCAAAAACCAUAUUGUCUGUGACGACAAGCCUUUCAGUUGUCUGUGACGACUGAAAGAAGGAAAAAAAUCCCACUUAACAUGCAGAAGAUAACACAACAAUAAGAGACAACCUUUUAAUAAAUUCAGAAUUUGGA